rnacentral:misc_RNA from 1 species
CGCACAUUGCGCUCCCUGGUAUUCCGGGGAGCAUGCCUGUUCGAGCGUCAUUAUCAACCAUCAAGCCCUGCUUGGUAUUGGGAGUCGUCCCCCGCGGACGCGCCCUAAAGACUUCGGCGGCGGUGUUGAACCUCAAGCGUAGUAGAAUCUCCAGCUUUCUAGGUUUUGGCACUGUUUGCCUCGAGAACCCCCCAUCUCAAAGGUUGACCUCGGAUCAGGUAGGGAUACCCGCUGAACUUAA